rnacentral:rRNA from 1 species
GACGAACCGUGCGAACGUUAUUCGGAAUCACUGGGCUUAAAGCGCGUGUAGGCGGCCCGGAGCAUCGUCGGCUGAAAUCCCCCGGCUCAACCGGGGAACGGGCCACGAGAUGUCCGGGCUGGAGGGGGGUAGGGGGAGCCGGAACUCACGGUGGAGCGGUGAAAUGCGUAGAUAUCGUUUGGAACGCCAAUGGUGAAAACAGGUUGCUGGGGGUGUGCUGACGCUGAGACACGAAAGCCAGGGGAGCAAACGGG